rnacentral:rRNA from 1 species
GACGAACGCUGGCGGCGUGCUUAACACAUGCAAGUCGAACGGAAAGGCCCUGCUUUUGUGGGGUGCUCGAGUGGCGAACGGGUGAGUAACACGUGAGUAACCUGCCCUUGACUUUGGGAUAACUUCAGGAAACUGGGGCUAAUACCGGAUAGGAGCUCCUGCUGCAUGGUGGGGGUUGGAAAGUUUCGGCGGUUGGGGAUGGACUCGCGGCUUAUCAGCUUGUUGGUGGGGUAGUGGCUUACCAAGGCUUUGACGGGUAGCCGGCCUGAGAGGGUGACCGGCACCAUUGGGCCUGAGUUCCGGCCCAGACUCCUCCGGGAGGCAGCGGUGGGGAUUUUUGCACAAUGGGCGGAGGCCUGAUGCAGCAACGCCGCGUGCGGGAUGACGGCCUUCGGGUUGUAACCCGCUUUCGCCUGUGACGAAGCGUGAGUGCCGGUAAUGGGUAAAGAAGCACCGGCUAACUACGU